rnacentral:lncRNA from 1 species
GGGCCUGGGUGGUGCAGCCUCUGGGCGGGGCCUGCGCAGCAGCCGGUGCGGAUUCCGCGGUGCCCAGCACAGGCGAGAACAUCCACCCGCGACGUAACUGGGAGCCUGGGGAGCUGAGCUGAGUCCGGGGUCUGCUUCUUCAGCAGGGCCCAGGGUGCUCAGCGCCCGAGGGAGGCGUUCGGGGAGUCGGCCUUUGUUCUGGCACUUUCGGGGCCUAGGAGUUAGGCAACUCUGGGGAGGUGCGAGGGGACGCCCAGUUGGGCGGGGGAGGCCUGUACAGUAGGGGCCGCGCUCUGAGCCCGAGGCACGGCUGGGGGAGCAAGUGCAGGAAGCUGGCAGCUCUUGGGGAUUUACUGAAGCAGAGUGUGGUAAAAUUCAUCAUCUGCAAAACGAGGAUUGUGAUGAAGAGUGAAGGAAAUCAUUUGCUUGAGUGUGAACAGCCUGUCUGGCACUUUAAUGUUACGAUGGUGAUGAGAAGAGGAAGGUGAGGCCGGAGAUGAUGGAUUGAGGCCCUUGGCAGUGCUGCAGGAUGAACUUAGAGAACCACUGCCUUAGGUUGGGCUAAGCAGGGAUUUUGUUUUUUCUUCUUUUUCUGAAUGGGUUAGCCUGACCUCCUUCAGCAGAGGCUGGUGGGAACUGGGGAUGCGUAAGAUGAAAAUACACCGGCCGACGGGAAUUUAUGUUCAUUUUGACCUCAAUUAACUUAUAAAACAUAUAAGAAAUUAUAUGCAAAUAAGUACCAAUUAUUUUCUGUCAGGAUCUUGUGUCAUUUUUUUUGCAGUCUUGGCAUCUACAUUAUGCCGGGUCACUUGAUCCUCAAUGUCCCACGCUGGGCCAUCACCCCCAAUUCAUUUUGUACCCACCAAUUUCCUGACAGCAUUGCCAGUU